GGUACAUUCACCUAGUCCACUUUAAUGCAUGACCCAGCUGUUAACCUUUUCAGUAGAGUGACCUGUGUGUAUUAAUCCUAUAGGAGGCAGUCUGUCAUUGUAACAGCUGGCUGCGUAUGAAGGACCAGUGUUGGGGAGUAGUGAACUACAUGUAGUCCAACUAGUAAUGUAACUACAUUUUGCAGUAACUUGAUGGUAGCUGAGUUAAAUUACAAUCUUAGUUGUGUUUUCAGAAGUUCUUUACUUUUCCGAGGUCUGGCUUGCUACUGGAACUACACACGACUUUUUUUGUGUGCAAAAAGUAGGAAAAAAACCGAUAUGGCAUCAGACCUGCCUAAUUCUCACUUGAGACAUAGUUUUUGUGUUUAAUAGGAUAAAUUACACAUUCUGUUAACAUCUAACUACAGAGCGAUCUGUUCUUGCUAUUUGUAUUCUAUGACAUUUCAAAUGUACAUAUCAUUUUUCAUGGAGUAGUUUUUCAUUCAGGGAGGAGGAUCAGGUAUCUGGUCCUACAUGCAUUUUUCAUGCAGUGAACUGCUUUUUAAAAGUCACUUUAGUUCAGUAAACUAUAAACUCUUUCUUAAGGGCAGCUUUAGUGUAGUUUAACUUCUUCCAGUGUGCAGUAAUUGGUAGCUUGGAAAUCUAUAUUUUCAGAGCAGCUUCCCCAACACUGUCAAGAACACACUGACAGGUUGGAGUCACCUCUCUAGAGAAAUGGGAAACAGGGGAUAUCCUGUGCUGAAGUCUCCCAGGUUAGAUGGACCGAUAUGAUUUACUAUGACUUUACAUACAGCAUUUUAGUGCAUUGAAUGAACUCUCCAGAGGUGAUGCAUUUGAUUUAAAAUAGGGGUCAAUAGGGUACGUUUCUAUCAAUAGCAACAGUGUUGUAGUGUGAUGUAAGGUGGUAGCCAAGGAGAUACUUUUCAUAAGGAUAAAAUGUUCCGAAAGUGAAUUUCAGCCUCCCUCUCUCUCUUUCUCUUUCUUUCGCUUUUUCACCCUCUGUGUCCUCUUGUAUGAGUGUUCACUGUUCCACACACACACACACACACACACACACACACACACACACACACACACACACACACACACACACACACACACACACACGCCCCUAAGCGCCUGGGCCUAAUGGGAAUGUGGCGUCAGUGGUGUGUAGCGAUUGAACACGACAUCUCUGCAUGGGCUUCAGCAGAAUAACACCUGUCCCCCUUUAUCCAAGGAGAAAAGCUGGAAAUUCCCUUCCUCUGAGAGUUGGAUUGUAUUAGCUCUCCUCCUGCACAAGAUUUGUUUCACUCCCUCCUUUUCCACUUUCUCUUCCUUUUUCUUUUUUUCACAAAUAUUUGAUCUUGUUUCACCUGCGCUUGUUUGUGAUGAAAUGAUGCAUGUUGAAUACAAACCAGUCUGUGGGUGAGAGUGGUUAAAAUGAGUAAAUGUUAUAUAAAUGUUACCUGGAUGUUACAAGGGGUGUUUUUUUUUCGGUUCCCUCAGCUCUCUCUGUUUGAAGUAGUGUUGGGUUAUGAUUGGUUUAUCCUGCGAGACUGAUCCGAGGUCAAAGGUCAUAUUCCAUACAGAUCCAUAGUGCUGCCAUUUUGGUUUUCCAUUGGAACCAACAAGGUCCUGGAAGGAAAGAGUCACAAUGCCAGCUCUCUCAGUGAAAGAGAUGAGAGGAAAUCUCACUGGAUUUACACAACUCUUUCCAGACUCUCCAGUCUUCCUGAAGGAAACAGCUACAACAAACAAACAAUUAUGUGGAUUUAAAGAGGGAUUCUCAAGGAACCUGGCGAGAACGUUUAAAAACACACGAUCGGAUAGGUGACUUUUUUGUAAUUUUGGCUCCAAAUCCCUGAACUCCUAAUGUAAGUUUACAGACAUUGACACGUGUGAGAAAGUGUCCUGCCCCUUCAAAAAGACUCAGAUGGUUGACAGGAUGUCCAUCUGUACAAACCAGAGCCCAUACAUACAACCAUUACAACUGCCACCAUUUUGAGUGUGUUUGAAGUACAAUGUAACAAAAAAAGAUGUUUGGUUUGGUUGUUUCAUACUACAGUUUCAUACGUUUCAGAUGUUUUUAUGACUCAAUUUGCCAUUGGUUUGUUUUCUAUUCUAAAUUGUCAACUGUUUGACUCAAUUUGCCAUUGAUUAGUUAUUCUAUCUAAAUAGGAUGUAUGAAUCCCUAGGAGGAGUAAGACUGAAGCUCAUUCAAGUGCUCUCCUGCUCAAGGACCUGCCUCGAUCAUCACACAUCGUUUCCACAACAUUCCCAGAGUGCUUCUGUCACGUCAUAGCAACAUUUGCCCAUUUGUAAAAUGGUCCUUUAGCCAAAGACAGUGGCAAUUAUAUUUGUAUUUUGUAAUAAUAAAAAAUAACCCCGUGGGGGCUCUUCUCUCGGCUUGCUUGCACUACGUUCUUUUUACGAGAGCUCUUGUAAUGAUUUUACUCUCAUGUAGCCUAUGCCUCCCAAUCCGUCAUUUCAAAGCUAUUUUGAUCAAAUUCUUUCAACUCUGCACUGGACAUACCAAGGGGGGUCUUGGGUCAAAACUAGUGCACUACAUUGUGAAUAAGAUGCACAAUAUAGUGAAUAGGUCGCCAUUUGAGACAACCAGAUAUACUAAUCUCCCUCCACUAGGUUGUCAGGAAUGGUCAAAGUUUUCCAUUCUAAAAUAACUUCUGUUGUCUGUUUAAAUAAUACAUGGUUUCCCUGCUAACUCCCAGCAAACGGUGUAAUGGUUGCGGUUUAGACGAGCUGUUGUGUUAAGUGGCCUUUGUUCAGGCUUAUGGGAUAUUUAGCAGAACAGAGCUGUGUUUGGGGGCGUAUUGGGGCGUAGAGGUUGGGAACACCAGGGGUUAGGCUGGAUGCUGGAUAUAGAACACGGAAGACUGUAUUCUAUAGCACUGACCUCACGUAGUUAAGAGUACAUUGGUGACCUACAUGGAGCCUUUGGGCUUGGUUAGUUUUCCAGACCAGGUUGGAGUGUAUACCUUGUACCCAGUGCACUGUACCUGGGGGGACUCGGUGCUCCACAACAAUUCAAAAAAGCAUGGCAUCCCCUCUUGGGCGCCCCAAUAAGCAUUAAACAUAUAAACAUUGAUUGGAUCCACAAUUUCUAUAGUACUCACAAGAGUCACUGCCUAAAAACAAUGAGUCUGAAGCCUAAUCUCAGUUAGCUACUGUAUUCCUCCAUCUUUGUUGUUGAGUCCUCGUUGCCUCAGCAGAGCCCUGGCUUUUAACAGUGUUAUAUUCUAAUUCUGUUAGGGUUGGGUCUAUCUAUCUUAGCUCUCUGUGUGAAAGAUCACACUAUGUACAUAGAGUUGGUAAUACCUACUUAUCCCCCUUUAUACUCUCCAUGAGGCCCUGUUUCUGACAUCUAAAGCCCCCCUGGAGACAGAGUCUGCCCCCUUGGAGACGGAGUCUACGUCCCAAAUGGCACCCUAUUCCCUAUAUCGUGCACUACUUUUGACCAGGUUUCAUAGGGCUCUUGUCAAAAGUAGUGCACUAUGUAGGGGAAAUGUUGCCAUUUGGGAUGCAGACAGACAGACAGACAGACAGACAGACAGACAGACAGACAGACAGACAGAUAUCAACAGCUAUUCAGGCGGCCAUGACAUCAAUGCUUUAUGUUGGAUGCUAUGCUUCAUGACAUGGUGGAACAGUGUGAGUAUUUGAAGAGUUUCCCAUCUCUCAGAGAAUGGGUUGAAAGGCUCAGUGAUGUCUCUAGUUGUGCCCCAGCGGCCCUCUCUCUUCACACGGAUGGACUGUGUGCAGACUACAGAUGGACUGUGUGUGCAGACUACAGAUGGACUGUGUGUGCAGACUGCAGAUGGACUGUGUGUGCAGACUGCAGAUGGACUGUGUGUGCAGACUGCAGAUGGACUGUGUGUGCAGACUGCAGAUGGACUGUGUGUGCAGACUGUAGAUGGACUGUGUGUGUAGACUACAGAUGGACUGUGUGUGCAGACUGCAGAUGGACUGUGUGUGUAGACUACAGAUGGACUGUGUGUGCAGACUGUAGAUGGACUGUGUGUGUAGACUACAGACAACAGAUAGUGAAGAUAAGUCCAUGGCUCUCUAAUCGUGCUGUUGACUUUGAUCAGUGAUCGCCUACCCCAACGCUGUAUGGAACAGAAGGCUACUGAGCUGUGGCUGUAGUGGAGCAGAAAGGAAGGGGGAAAGAGAGAGAGACGGGUUGUAGCAGACACUGACUAUAUAGAUGCUGCAUAGAAGAAAAGGAAAGAGCAAAAGAGGGAUGACAGAAAGAGAGGGCAGAGGCUAGUGACAGGCUGUAUGGAAGGAAAGAGCAAGAGGGAUGGACAGAAAGAGAGGGCAGAGGCUAGUGACAGGCUGUAUGGAAGGAAAGAGCAAGAGGGAUAGACAGAAAGAGAGGGCAGAGGCUAGUGACAGGCUGUAUGGAAGGAAAGAGCAAGAGGGAUAGACAGAAAGAGAGGGCAGAGGCUAGUGACAGGCUAGCUGUAUGGAAGGAAAGAGCAAGAGGGAUGGACAGAAAGAGAGGGCAGAGGCUAGUGACAGGCUGUAUGGAAGGAAAGAGCAAGAGGGAUAGACAGAAAGAGAGGGCAGAGGCUAGUGACAGGCUGUAUGGAAGGAAAGAGCAAAAGAGGGAUGACAGAAAGAGAGGGCAGAGGCUAGUGACAGGCUGUAUGGAAGGAAAGAGCAAGAGGGAUGGACAGAAAGAGAGGGCAGAGGCUAGUGACAGGCUGUAUGGAAGGAAAGAGCAAGAGGGAUAGACAGAAAGAGAGGGCAGAGGCUAGUGACAGGCUAGCUGUAUGGAAGGAAAGAGCAAGAGGGAUAGACAGAAAGAGAGGGCAGAGGCUAGUGACAGGCUAGCUGUAUGGAAGGAAAGAGCAAGAGGGAUAGACAGAAAGAGAGGGCAGAGGCUAGUGACAGGCUAGCUGUAUGGAAGGAAAGAGAAAGAGGGAUAGACAGAAAGAGAGGGCAGAGGCUAGUGACAGGCUAGCUGUAUGGAAGGAAAGAGCAAGAGGGAUAGACAGAAAGAGAGGGCAGAGGCUAGUGACAGGCUAGCUGUAUGGAAGGAAAGAGCAAGAGGGAUAGACAGAAAGAGAGGGCACAGGCUAGCUGUAUGGAAGGAAAGGAAGCUAUCUGAGGAGAAAGAGACAGAGGAGAGAAGUGAGAAGGAUGACAAAAAGAAAGACUAACAGCAGAGCUGGAACGUAUCGAUGGAAAAGAAGCUAUAGGAAGCUAAGAGACCAUUUAUUCUUGAUCUGAAAAUGUGGCCGGAGGCUCCAUAUGACACAAUCACAAAGUCUCCAGAGGAAUGCAGAGGCCAAAUUGAGCUCUGUACCGUAUCGCCGUGUGCCUCUCAAAUUUUCUGUAAGAAUGCAGAGGGCUCAGUAUAGCUCCGCAUUGACAUGAUUGGUUGACGGUAGGUGAGGGCAAGAGGUCCUGUAUAAACACAUACUCACUUCUUUGGCAACUUCCUUCACAACAGCUCUGAGCUGCUCCGCAAAGUGCAAGAAGUACAAAUGUCCUGACUUCUGCAGAGGCCAUAUCACCGUAAAUGCUGCACGGCCGAUAUAGACUGGGGAUUGACCGUGCAUCGCCUUUUAAGUGACAGAAAAGAAGCUGUAGCGAGAACAUGGUGGGACAUUAAUCGUUGUCAGUUUGCAGCCACAUUACAAAAAGCAGAAAGUGGAUUACUUUUCCAUGGAAUUUUUCUCCACCUCUUUCUAAGCUCUUUAUCUCUCUCCAAGCAUUAGGACCUCUAACUGCUAUAACAAUGGACCAGAGAGGCAGGAGGACAGCAGCUUUAUGGCUGAAAAUGGGGUUUCAUUUCACAUAUUAUAGAUAAAUCAGGGGUUACAGAUAUAAGAUCUUAAUUUGAUCACUCUUUUGUUACUGAGAAUUUCAGAUCAGCUUUGUGAUGUACAUAAAUUCACUGAAAACCCACACUAACAUAUGGUUAUAUUAACAGUAUUGUACUUUUCAUGUAGCCUACUUUUGGACAACUAACAGCCUAACCACCGAUCAAGGAACGUUCUGGACUAAAUGUUCAAAUCCUGUUGCUGCAGGAUUAUUUUUGCUGUGACAAUAUAGGUCAAAUGAAGAUCCUGUAUAUCUUGGUCCAACUCAUUUAGAAGCUACAACUAUUGAAACAGUACUAAUGUUCACCCAUAGUUUAUUACUUUGAAUUACUGUCUAAUGGAACUUUCAAUGGAUUCAAAUACAUUUUAUUUUAUGAAUGAUAAUUGACUGAUAUCGAAAAGUGAAAUUUGAAAGCAGAAAAUAUAAAGCCUUUGAUAUACAGCACCAUUUUGCUAGUUUAUAGUCAUUACAACUCAGUUCACAUGCAGUUGAAAAUACUUUUUUGACCCACUACAUGAAUAUUUCAGUCACUCAGUUUCCACUUGUAGUUUAAGAGGCAAUGUUUUCGCGUACAGUUGUUACUGCACUUAAAUGUGAAGUAUGGAUGAUUGUGCUUGUUUGGGCUUCAAAGUAUUUUACUCUGAGUUUAAUAUACGUUUAGUGUGUACCUCUCUCAAUGUGAGGACAGUCCUAUGGCUGGGGGCUGGGAGUGUAUUGAGGGGAUAAGAGGAAGCCUGGUUGGCAGCCAGCUUGCAGCCCUCCAGGCCUCUUGCUAGUCCACUCACUCCUUUUCUCAGGCUAUACUCAUCUGUUUAUCGGCCUGAGAGACAGUGUUCAGACCGUAGAGUGAAGUGACAGGUUGGCGAGAAAGAGAUGAAGAGAGGAGAGGUAAAGAGAGAGGUGGGGAGAGAGAGCCGAAGCAGUAUGAUUAAACAGGAGUGAGCCAUGUCCUGAACAGCAGGUAAUAACGGGAUCUUCAGAGGGGGAGAGAUGGAAAGAAGGAUUUCCAGAAACAAGUACUCUCUAGAGGGGAGAUGAUCCCAGGGCCUCAGCAUGAAGCUUCUAACACCUUUUAUCAGGAAUCUGUCAACAGACUGCUUACAUGGACCAACAGGAUACUGAACACACACACACACACAGAGAGAGAGAGCGUGGGAAGAGGACAGCGCUACAGAACCGAGGCUACUCAGAAUCAUUGGCACGCCUCUCUGGUAUAGAACAGGUCUGAGAACAGAUUGUAAAAUCCUGCUCAUGUUCCCACUAGCUUUCUCCUAUCUACUCCAUCAUAAUUAUCCUCAAACAAUAGCAGGCCUCAUUUCAGCCUUAUCUCAGCCUGGGCUCCAUUGUUAACCAUGACACUGGCUCCCCUGAGGUCCAACUGAGGAUCUUUAGGUCAUCAGCAUAAUGGAUGAAGUCACUGUUAUUCUAGCCAGCCUAAAGAGUUAAAUGGUUUUGUUAUCAUGAUAGGGUUAAUUCCAACAUUAGUCCAUGAUGGGGAAUAAUCCAUUUAAUUUGUUCAAGGGUGUGCCUUGGAGUACAGUACUACUACUUCAUGAAAUGUCCAUUUUGCAAGGCAACAACCGACACUCUCUUUUCUUACAUGUGUCCUUUAAAGGAAAACCAUCCCUCUCACUCUGCCUUUCAGGCUGAAUGUCUUCAGUACAAACUGAACAAACUGAGCUUCAUCUGUUUGUGUCUGACACGUGUGGUUGCUAAGACGUCUGUAGUUGGACAACUUGUAUAGGAGCAACAACCACACUAGCACUGUUUCUGCCUCCACAGUGCUAUUCUGAGCUACAGUAUCGCUCACAUGGCUGUGUGGGAGUCUUUGUAGGCUGGGCGUCUUCAUACUGAGAGUUGGGCUUUGUUCAGUUGGAUAAUUAUGUUAUCCUUUUGGAAGUAGCAUUGCUUGUGGGAUAAGGGGAACAGAGAAUGAAUAUGGAUUCGGUUUUGAUUUUGGCAUUGUUCCUUGUUUGAAAGGGGAUAUUAAUGAAGCAAGAUCGAUAAGAACGAUAACUCUGUUAAAAGUUCAGAAAGAUCUUUCUUGGCAAAGUUUUGCGGAUGCUUGAUUAGUUUGUCCAUCCUGCCGUGUGUCAAAUAAAAGACCGAAGUCCUUGACAAGUGAGAGUCAGGAGUUCACACUAACUGUCUGAGCAACAAUUAUCACAACCGGGAUUUGAUUCAAUGUCAAAUAUGUUUAUGAUUAUGUUCUUCUUUACUAUCGGUCUGGUUGGCCACCCAAUUACACUGUUUAUACUUUGUAGCCCCUGAGGGGAGGCAUGCUAGGCCUCAGCCAAGAGGUCUGAAUCUAUAUGGCACAGAGGUUAGUGUACAUGCCCUACACUCCAGGGUUGCUGGUUCAGAUCCAUGAGCAGGAGAGCACUACACAGAGCUUUUAUACCUGUCCCAAAUCAAGGCUCAGGAAUGUCCAAGACCGUUAUCUUGUAUCAUUUAUUAUGACGAUAGCAUAAACAAUUUUGUUUUCUCCAUGUGCACAUAUAUAUACAAUUUUUCCUAAGGUUUGGUUCCCAAAGAGAAGGUAUGGAUUUAAAAGAAUCUGUGAAAUAUCUGUGAAUUUUGUACUGACUGUAAAAAAAGAAAAGAAAAAAAGUUGAUUGUUUGGCUUUUUGUCUACUGAGCUUGAUCUGUCUGCGUGUUUCUUCUGGGUGGGUUGGGGCUUCGGGAUCUAGGGACGACAGUUGGAAGUACUUGAUUAUCUAUGUCCUAAAGAGGUUAAAGAAUAGAGAAGUUUAACAAGUGAAAUUUAAAAAAGAAACAAAGUUAUAUUUGCAUGAUUUCCUGUAUUUUUCAAGAGAAGAAAUAUAUUGUUGUGUUUAACGAGUGGAUGUAUGUUGAAAACAAACAGAACUGUAGGGACUGAAAUACAGUAUGUGUCAAACUCAUUUCUAAGAUUUAGGAUCAUUUUAAGGUUGACUUUCUUUUUAAAUCUCUCUAAUGUUGAAUAGUUACAUUCAUCUUUAUCUGGUUUUCUGUUUUUCAGUUUCAGCCUAAUAAUGUAUUUCUACUGUCUGUAGUUAGCGUUGCUAUAUUUCUCCUAUUGUUUCUGGCGGGUUGAGUUGUGUGCUGUGGAAAAAACCUUCAGGCCUGUGGGUUGUUUCCAUCCAUUUGUUUGGAAAGCUGGAGGGAUCUGUCCUUCUCUCUAUGACACUGAUUAUUCUCUCCAAUCUAUAGGCAUGUUCUACAUGCAGGCUCAAUAUGCUAAGUUGAUCUCUUCCCAUGGUCAUGGCUACAGGUAAAUGGAACCACAGGGAGUAGUCCUCGAGCUGAUCCUGAGUCUGUCGUUAGUGUGGUGUGAGUAGCCGGAGCAGAGGGAGUUGAGUGCAUUUCAUUUCUUGGCCGUGAGUCAAUGACGUGUUCGCUGGUCCAGCUCCCCAUUAUCUCCUCACUGUGACAGCAGGCCAUAACUCACACAUGUUUACAUUUCUACACAGUGCAUCUAUCUAUAAGGGUGAACCCGUGCCAAAAACAUAAGAGGCUGUCCCGCAUCAAUUACACAGACAAAUGAAACGAAUUAACCUCUUGACUGGGUGUUUACUAGCUCAGCAGAAGAGCUAUUUCAGGCCCGGUGGCCAUUUUGUUUGACUGUUUUGUUGUUUUAUUAGUGUGCAGGUUUCUUCUUUUUUCUCAUCUAGUUUUAUAAGUUGAAAUGAAUCACUACGCCAAUCAGAUCGGUAAAUAGUCCAUUAGCGCCGGUGGCUAAUCUCUGAUGUCCACAGUAACCGCUCCUGCAGCUCCGGUGGAGAAACCCUGUUUUGUUUGCUGGCUGGGCACAUUAAACAGUAGCAGCAGAGCUGGCAGUAUUCCGAUCGAUGCUAAUGCUCUCUGUGCUCAUAAACACCAGGUUGGCUGGUUGGCAUUCCGAACACAUAAUCUGAUACAGCGGUAUGCCUGAUGCCAGCAGGAUAUGAUAGGAUAGUUCUUGGCAGAGGGAUAAGCUCAGAGGCUUCGGAACACAGGCAGCUCUCCUCGGAUAUAGGGCCAGGCAGGAGCACCAUUCUCACCUCAUUCAGGAAAUUAAAUGUCCGGGAUCGAUCAGAGCGCUGGAUGGAGAUGCUCCAGGUCUUUAACGGGCACAAUGGGGUGGUUAGACAGAUGAGCCAAUCACAGCCUAGCUCUCUCUGAGCACUCUUACAGUGGAGACCAGCUCCUGAUAGAAACACUGCAGGUAGAAAUGUAUUGAAAAGAAUGGAACACAGCUUUCUAUGGUGUCCCAUUCUAUGCAAUUAGGUUCCUAUGAACAACGCUGUGAAUGUUUCUCCCCGUCCACUAAGCCCAUGCCUGAUGUGUUAUCCAGUUCUGAUUGGUCGCUCUUUCUAUCUCUUUACUAAUUCUCGUUUUUUAUGAAGGUUCUUUCCAUAGCAACCCAAACAUUAUCAACAAGACAUUAUGUACUCUGAGUACUGACUAUGUGUGCUGGGUCUUAAAGCUGUCUUCUUCUUCUAUUACUUAACAUGGUUUAACAUCUCGUGGUCUAACAGGUCAUCAUGGUUGAAGUGAUCAGGGUUUAGGGUCAUUUGGGUCAUUGUAUUCCAAUGGAGAAAUUCCAAAUUCAACCCUACAGAAAGAAAUUGAACAUGGACUUUCUCCAUAGGAAAACAAUACAAAUCCUGUACUUCAGAUGGAACUGCCCUCAACCGUGUUUAACCGUCAGACUAAACUGUUCUAACCACAGUAUCAAUGGUUCUAAACAGUGUGAUCUGCCAGUACAGUGAUCUCUAAUAUCUCUAGUGUUCUUCUCCUUCCUUCACUUUGCCAGUGAGGACUUAAGGGUGAUAGAUACUGUGGUUUGAAGAGAAAUAUUUCUCUCUCCUUCUUAUGUUGUUGAUGACAACGUUCAUGUUUUAUCCUCACAAUUUCUGUACAAAAGAUCUAUUUCUAUAUUUGCAAUACAUUUGUAAUUAAAAAUGAUGACAAUG